rnacentral:lncRNA from 1 species
CAGGUGCAACAGGAGGGGCAUGUAAAGGAGAGGGUACUGGUGUUGCCUGUUUGUAUCCCUCACUGUACAAUUUAAAAAGAAAUGUUAAAAAUCCUCCGCCUUAUAAUGAUGAUGAGGAUUUUUUGAUUAAUCAUGAGAUUAUGAAUCCCUCUUUGGGUCACCUCCCCUCAGCAGAUGAAUGAUGCACCACAGCUUGUACCCCAAAAUUUAGCUGGUGCCUCAGCCAUGUUGCAUUGAGGUGGUAGACCUGAGAGGGAUAUAAGACUGCUUAAAAGAUUUGCUGAUCAUGCUGUGGUUUAUCAGGAUGUAGCAAUGUGUUGCCUGAGAGUGAUGGGAGUGAGGCUAUGAUUUUACCUAUUAGAGAAGUGGGACAGAUGGAUAAUGAUGGGAGACCAAGGAGGAUUUGUCAACCGUGGAGCCCACAAGACAUAGCAUCUUUACAGGUAUCAUUUCCAGCCCCCUCUAAAGAUCCAAAUGGGUUUGUAAAACAUUUAAAAAUAAUGUGUGCCAGCUAUUUCCCGACAACAUAAGAUCUUAAUGUGUUAAUGGAGACAGUAUUAACCCCUACAGAACAUACUAAAUGGGUGGCAGGAUAUAACGAAUCACCUUUCUCAUGGUCUGCAGGGGUGGGGGGACAGGCAGUUGCACACAUAUGGGAAAAUUGCCCUGAUGAGAGGAGUGAUGUUGUCCUUAAGAAUUGGUAUGCAUUCCUCAGCAUCAAAUUAAAAACAGUUUUUACCCAGCCUAUUGACUAUACAUAGCAUAGUGCAAAAGAAAGGAG